rnacentral:tRNA from 1 species
UAGAUUGAAGCCAGUUGUUUUGGGCGUUUAGCUGUUAACUAAAUUUUUGUAGGUUAAAAUCCUAUCGGUCUAG